AGCAUCCCUCAAAGGUCACCAUCGGUGCCUUCUAGGGUUCUCCAGCUCUCAAACAAGAGAGGCUUCUUCUAAGGAAGCAAGCGCUGAAGAUAAAACGAGCACCAUUGCUCGCUGUUGGCAAGAGCAAUGUCAUCACCGGAGUUGCUAAAACAAUAAAGGAGCAUUUCCAAAAGCAUCCCCUCGCCAUAGUGAGUAUCAAGGGCAGAGCCAAGGGGACAUCUGCUCGGGAGGUGAUAUACAAUCUCCAGCAAGCAACAGGCGCCAUUCUUGUUUCUCACGAACCUAGCAAAGUGAUACUCUACAGAGGUUGGGGAUCAGGAAUAGAACCUGAGCCUGAUCAAGCACAAGGAGAGGUAAAGCCUCGUGCACUCGUAUCUCCCGAGCUCAUGUCAGCAAUCAGGCUCGAGUGUGGUUUGACAUCUUCCAUCAGAGAGCUAGCAGUUUCAGACGGCAUUCCCAGCAACAACUAACAGUUUCAGACACCAUUUCGCACUCAUCAGUUCAGGAAUCUGUACAGACAAAGCAUUUAUCUGGGGUUUGUGGAACUGAAAGCCCCCACCAUGUGAAGAUGUAUAAAGCAACUCGGAGUGAAUGGAUUCGUGCUGCUGUAUCAGAAUAUAUAUAUGCGUAUAAAUAUACAUCACUCUGUGAAUAUGUAUAUUUAUAGCCUAUGACUUUAUAUUCUACGUAUUUUUAUUGACUUUCGAUUUACUUAUUUUUAUGGCAGUAGUAAUCUUUUAAAAUAUUAGUACAUGUAUAUUAAAAUAAAAUUAGUUUAUUAAACUCAUUUAGCAUCUGAUAUACAGUCUAUACAGAUAGUGCCUAUCUCCGUAUAGUGUAUUAUGCUUUGUCAUUUUGAGUUUAUUUCCAAA